rnacentral:lncRNA from 1 species
AUCCAUGCCAAAAAAAUGAAGUUGGAGAUCUGUGAUAUAUGAUUCCAACCAUAUGCAAGCUGGAAAAGCAAAACUAUGGAGACAGUCAAAGGAUCAGUAGUUUGGGGGUUGGGGGAAGGGAGGGAUAAACAGGUGGAACACAGGAUUUUUUAGGGCAGUGAAACAGCUCUGUGUGAUGCUACAAUGAUGGAUACAUGUCAUUUAUACAUUUGUUCAAACCCAGAGAAUGUACAAUACCAAGAGUGAAUCCUAAGGUAAA